rnacentral:rRNA from 1 species
AGAGUUUGAUCCUGGCUCAGGACGAACGCUGGCGGCGUGCCUAAUACAUGCAAGUCGAACGAAGCUUUCUUUCACCGAAUGCUUGCAUUCACCGAAAGAAGCUUAGUGGCGAACGGGUGAGUAACACGUAGGCAACCUGCCCAAAAGAGGGGGACAACACUUGGAAACAGGUGCUAAUACCGCAUAACCAUGAACACCGCAUGAUGUUCAUGUAAAAGACGGCUUUUGCUGUCACUUUUGGAUGGGCCUGCGGCGUAUUAACUUGUUGGUGGGGUAACGGCCUACCAAGGUGAUGAUACGUAGCCGAACUGAGAGGUUGAUCGGCCACAUUGGGACUGAGACACGGCCCAAACUCCUAUGGGAGGCAGCAGUAGGGAAUCUUCCACAAUGGACGAAAGUCUGAUGGAGCAACGCCGCGUGAAUGAAGAAGGCCUUCGGGUCGUAAAAUUCUGUUGUCAGAGAAGAACGUGCGUGAGAGUAACUGUUCACGUAUUGACGGUAUCUGACCAGAAAGCCACGGCUAACUACGUGCCAGCAGCCGCGGUAAUACGUAGGUGGCGAGCGUUGUCCGGAUUUAUUGGGCGUAAAGGGAACGCAGGCGGUCUUUUAAGUCUGAUGUGAAAGCCUUCGGCUUAACCGAAGUAGUGCAUUGGAAACUGGAAGACUUGAGUGCAGAAGAGGAGAGUGGAACUCCAUGUGUAGCGGUGAAAUGCGUAGAUAUAUGGAAGAACACCAGUGGCGAAAGCGGCUCUCUGGUCUGCAACUGACGCUGAGGUUCGAAAGCGUGGGUAGCAAACAGGAUUAGAUACCCUGGUAGUCCACGCCGUAAACGAUGAGUGCUAAGUGUUGGAGGGUUUCCGCCCUUCAGUGCUGCAGCUAACGCAUUAAGCACUCCGCCUGGGGAGUACGGU